rnacentral:rRNA from 1 species
GAUGAACGCUGACAGAAUGCUUAACACAUGCAAGUCAACUUGAAUUUGGGUUUUUAACUUAGGUUUGGGUGGCGGACGGGUGAGUAACGCGUAAAGAACUUGCCUCACAGCUAGGGACAACAUUUGGAAACGAAUGCUAAUACCUAAUAUUAUGAUAAUAGGGCAUCCUAUAAUUAUGAAAGCUAUAAGCGCUGUGAGAGAGCUUUGCGUCCCAUUAGCUAGUUGGAGAGGUAACGGCUCACCAAGGCGAUGAUGGGUAGCCGGCCUGAGAGGGUGAUCGGCCACAAGGGGACUGAGACACGGCCCUUACUCCUACGGGAGGCAGCAGUGGGGAAUAUUGGACAAUGGACCAAGAGUCUGAUCCAGCAAUUCUGUGUGCACGAUGAAGUUUUUCGGAAUGUAAAGUGCUUUCAGUUGGGAAGAAAGAAAUGACGGUACCAACAGAAGAAGUGACGGCUAAAUACGUGCCAGCAGCCGCGGUAAUACGUAUGUCACGAGCGUUAUCCGGAUUUAUUGGGCGUAAAGCGCGUCUAGGUGGUUAUGUAAGUCUGAUGUGAAAAUGCAGGGCUCAACUCUGUAUUGCGUUGGAAACUGUAUAACUAGAGUACUGGAGAGGUAAGCGGAACUACAAGUGUAGAGGUGAAAUUCGUAGAUAUUUAUAGGAAUGCCGAUGGGGAAGCCAGCUUACUGGACAGAUACUGACGCUGAAGCGCGAAAGCGUGGGUAGCAAACAGG